GAGGGUGAAAAGAGCCUGAACCGUCAUGGGGGAAGCGAGUGGUGUUGCAUUGAAGGGCCGUUGUGUGUUCAUCCCGAAAGGGUGUAUUGGCAUGGCGGCUUACCUGUCGUGGGUUCUGGGCCGUGGAUUUUGCACGGCUCGGGGCUGAGGGCUCCCAAUUUGGUGAGGACGACCGGGCGUUGACACGAUUCGACCCGUCUUGAAACACGGACCAAGGAGUCUAGCGCGGCUGCGAGUCGAAGGGUGCAAGCCUGAAGGCAAAGUGAACGCGAGUGUAAAACGAGCAGUUUGGGGCGGCAUGGGAUCGUUGAUUCCAAGUCUGACCUUGAGCAGUUGCGCUGGGACCCGAAAGAUGGUGAACUAUGCCGGAGUAGGGCAAAGCCAGAGGAAACUCUGGUGGAGGCUCGUAGCGGUGCUGACGUGCAAAUCGCUCGUCGAACUUGGGUAUAGGGGCGAAAGACUAAUCGAACCAUCUAGUAGCUGGUUCCCUCCGAAGUUUCU
rnacentral:rRNA from 1 species